GAAGACUGUGUGUCACGUGGCUUCCCUGCCCCCUGCGAGGGCCGCCUCUGACGCUCCUUGGGAAACCUUAGCUAGCCAUGGUCUCCUUCUCAGCAGAUGGUGCUCUGGUCCCUUAGAAAAGUGAAGGGAACUUCUUGACUUUUCUAUGCAGAGCUUGCAUCUUCUUGAACUUUACCUUCAAUUGCCAGCCGGUUACCCUACAGGCCCCUCUAGAGACUACACCCUUUUUAUUUUCUCCAGAACUACCACCAACCCUUACAGGACAUCAGGACAUCCUGGAAGGGGAAGAGAAGCAAGCUGAAGAGCAAGCCAGCCAGAGAGGAGUUGAAUCCUAAGCUAAUUGUAGGUCUCUGCUGCUGUCCUGGAAGCAUUUCUGCCCCCAUCCACCAUGAUAGGCAAACCCUCCCCAGAUGUAUCGGAAAUCUUCCACAGGAUCGGCUCUGGGACCAGAAUCCCAGUACCUACAAAGAAACCAACGGGAGGAACAAAGGAUAUGAAUGGAAAUGGACAGCUCGCUGACGCUUCAUAAGCACAAGGGGACUUGGAACUCAUUCUCUUGAAAUCUCACCCAUAAAAAUUUCCAAACUAUCUGACUCUAUUCUCUAAUUCACAGUUUAAAUCUGUUACAAAUAUCAGCCACAAAAAGACUUGUAAUUGCUUUCAUUCAAGGA